rnacentral:siRNA from 1 species
UCAAUGUCCGCCAUCAUCCUC